AUGGAAAUUCGGGCAAACGCUAGGAAAAAUAAAGAAACUUCCGGCAGAUUUAUGAGAAAAUAUGUUAAAAUCAGGUUAUUUCUUUACAAUUCAUAAAAAUUGGGGCAAACUUUCAACUGCCCCCCCCCCCAAAAAAAAAACAUCAGCCCCGUUCUCCUAUGCAUGCGUAUUGAUGGAUUUCUCUCCUAUGCAUAUUGCGUAUUGAUGGAAAUAACCUGAUUUUAACACAUUUUCUCAUAAAUCUGCCCAAAUUUUCUUGAUUUUUCCUAGCGUUUGCCCGAAUUUCGAUGGUUUUCCAAAAUUUUGGGGGGCCAUUGCCCCCCCCCCCCCUCGCUGUCUCGUACGCCUAUGUCAAUAAGGUAUUUACAACACAAACAUAAUACGAAGCCAAAGUGAAAG